UCAGCAGCCCCGCGGUAAUUCCAGCUCCAAUAGCGUAUAUUAAAGUUGUUGAGGUUAAAAAGCUCGUAGUUGAACCUUGGGCCUAGCCGGCCGGUCCGCCUCACCGCGUGCACUGGCUCGGCUGGGCCUUUCCUUCUGGAGAACCGCAUGCCCUUCACUGGGUGUGCCGGGGAACCAGGACUUUUACUCUGAAUAAAUUAGAUCGCUUAAAGAAGGCCUAUGCUCGAAUACAUUAGCAUGGAAUAAUAGAAUAGGACGUGUGGUUCUAUUUUGUUGGUUUCUAGGACCGCCGUAAUGAUUAAUAGGGACAGUCGGGGGCAUCAGUAUUCAAUUGUCAGAGGUGAAAUUCUUGGAUUUAUUGAAGACUAACUACUGCGAAAGCAUUUGCCAAGGAUGUUUUCAUUAAUCAGGAACGAAAGUUAGGGGAUCGAAGACGAUCAGAUACCGUCGUAGUCUUAACCAUAAACUAUGCCGAUUAGGGAUCGGACGGCGUUAUUUUUUGACCCGUUCGGCACCUUACGAUAAAUCAAAAUGUUUGGGCUCCUGGGGGAGUAUGGUCGCAAGGCUGAAACCUAAAGAAAUUGACGGAAGGGCACCACCAGGGGUGGAGCCUGCGGCUUAAUUUGACUCAACACGGGA
rnacentral:rRNA from 1 species